rnacentral:rRNA from 1 species
CCUACGGGAGGCAGCAGUAGGGAAUCUUCCACAAUGGACGCAAGUCUGAUGGAGCAACGCCGCGUGAGUGAUGAAGGCUUUCGGGUCGUAAAACUCUGUUGUUGGAGAAGAACGUGUGUGAGAGUAACUGCUCAUGCAGUGACGGUAUCCAACCAGAAAGCCACGGCUAACUACGUGCCAGCAGCCGCGGUAAUA